rfam:Capsicum annuum cultivar Zunla-1 chromosome 8, whole genome shotgun sequence
UGAUGGUGGUCAGGGCAAUCACAGAGCAUACACUUAAACCUUUCUCAAGCUUGGUACAAAGUCUCACUAUUUUUCUGCCUGAAAUUCAAAAUUUCACUCCUUAAUCG